rnacentral:rRNA from 1 species
UACGGAGGGUGCAAACGUUGCUCGGAAUCAUUGGGCGUAAAGCGCACGUAGGCGGCCUGUUAAGUCGGAUGUGAAAGCCCCGGGCUCAACCCGGGAAGUGCAUACGAAACUGGCGGGCGUGAAUAUGGAAGAGGGUCGCGGAAUUCCCGGUGUAGAGGUGAAAUUCGUAGAUAUCUGGAGGAACACCGGUGGCGAAGGCGGCGUUCUGGACUGUUUCUGACACUGAAAAACGAAAGCCAGGGGAGCAAACGGG